UCCCCAUGUCCCCGAGGUGUCCCCAUGUGCUGUCCAUGGUGUCCUGGAUCCAGGACACGAACUCGCACACCUUGCUGUGACCCUGGUGUCCCCAUGUCUGUGUCCCCAUGUCCCCGAGGUGUCCCCAUGUGCUGUCCAUGGUGUCCUGGAUCCAGGACACGAACUCGCACACCUUGGUGUGACCCUGGUGUGACCCUGGUGUCCC